CCCUAUUUGUGCAAAUCUCGCCAAUCCUUUAAGUCUCAAAUCAAAUCCCACUUCCUCAUUCAAGAUUUUCCUGAGUCUUCUAGCUUUGAAAUUCACCUUUCCUCCUCUGAUGCUGUUGUGUUCCGUUGCAAUUCAUAAUUUACUUCCUCUUCAUGUGGUCAUGUUUUAUCUUCCCAACUAGAAAGGCAACUUCUUAAAGGUGAAAGCCAACUCAGCAACGUCUCUUUAAGGAGAUAAUAUGAAGAGGCAUCAGCUUUUGUUCUGAUACCAUCAACAAUGAUCCAGAUGAAAAGGAAUGUGGUUCAACCUCCAUAUUUCUCAUAAAGAGAAAACUGAGGUCCAGAGAAGUGAAAUGGCUUAUCCAGAGGCAGUCAGGAGCCUUGUUUGCUGCAUGUGUGCCAGAACCUCGGAGCAGGAAACAUGCCAUCAGAAUGAAUGUGUCUGCCUGGCAAAGGCAGGGCAGAGCGGAAUCGAUUACAGAGAGGAAGGCGGGCAGUUGAAUGGGAUGCUGCCUAAAGAGAACCCAGCAGAUCCGUUCACUCUGCGAGCCAGUCUUGACCUUCUGCGCCUUAGGACCAUCUCCCUAGGACCACCAGCAUGAAGUUCAUGUGUCAAGAAGAAGUCGUCUGUGUUCUCCAAAAGCAACUUCAUGACCAGUUUUGAAAUAAUUCAAAACAUUUGCUCUCUUCAGAUCAGCUUCCUUCAAGCCAAUGUUUAUUUAAUUCAUAUGUCUGAAGUUUUCUGGCUCUUGAAAGUCAACAUUCUUGGUCUCCUCCCCUGUCCCAGCAUGUUUAAGUUGAGAUGGUGUUCUUUCUUGUUUCCUUAAGAGCUCUUGCCAAGUCACUGGGCAUGUCUCUCUUGUUCAUCUUCUGAAAAUCUUCAAUAAAUACAUGUCCUGAUUCUCCCAAUUUGUCAAAAAUAAAAACUUCCUUUCAUUACAUGCAUAUUGAAUUAUUUUCAUUCACAGAGGUAUCUUAUAUCGGUGCCUUACCAAUGACUGGAAAGACCAGGCUUCACAGACCUUCAACAAUGUCUUCCAUCCUUCUUCAACCCUCAGUGCCACAUCA